rnacentral:rRNA from 1 species
AGCAGCCGCGGUAAUUCCAGCUCCAAUAGCGUAUAUUAAAGUUGUUGCAGUUAAAAAGCUCGUAGUUGAAUUUCGGGAUCAAUAUGUUGGUCGUGCCUCGGUACGUACUAGCUUAUUGGUUUCUCCUUUCUGAAGAACCAUGAUGUCAUUUAUUUGGUGUCGUGGGGAAUCAGGACUGUUACUUUGAAAAAUUAGAGUGUUUAAAGCAGGCUCACGCUUGAAUACAUUAGCAUGGAAUAAUGAAAUAGGACGUUUGAUUCUAUUUUGUUGGUUUCUAGGAUCGACGUAAUGAUUAAUAGGGAUAGUUGGGGGCAUUAGUAUUCAAUUGUCAGAGGUGAAAUUCUUGGAUUUAUUGAAGACUAACUACUGCGAAAGCAUUUGCCAAGGAUGUUUUCAUUAAUCAAGAACGAAAGUUAGGGGAUCGAAGACGAUCAGAUACCGUCGUAGUCUUAACCAUAAACUAUGCCGACUAGGGAUCGGAUGAUGUUGAUUUUUAA